UACGGAGGAUGCAAGCGUUAUCCGGAUUUAUUGGGUUUAAAGGGUGCGCAGGUUGUUUGAUAAGUCAGUGGUGAAAGUCUGUCGCUUAACGGUAGGAUUGCCAUUGAUACUGUUGGACUUGAAUAUGGAUGAGGUAGGCGGAAUGUGUAGUGUAGCGGUGAAAUGCAUAGAUAUUACACAGAACACCGAUUGCGAAGGCAGCUCACAAAGCUAUUACUGACGCUGAUGCACGAAAGCGUGGGGAUCAAACA
rnacentral:rRNA from 1 species